rnacentral:rRNA from 1 species
CGGCCGCGGUAUCUUGACCGUGCAAAGGUAGCAUAAUCACUUGUCUCUUAAAUGGGGACCCGUAUGAAUGGCUUUUCAUCCUUUAACUGUCUCCCUUUUUUUCCACACAAACUCCUAUUUACGUGAAGAAGCGUACUUCAGAGAGAAAGACGAGAAGACCCUGUCGAGCUUUAGCCUACCCUACUCACUUACACUCAUCCUUCCCCAGGAAAAAACCUCUGUAGGCCAGGCUUUGGUUGGGGCAACCAUGGAGAAAAAAUAUCCUCCAGUUUUCUAGGAAGAGAAUCAGCUCUCCUUCCCCAUUUUUGAGAACCAACACUUUUGGGAAACGGAAAAAGUUACCGCAGGGAUAACAGCGUUAUCUUUUCUAAGAGCCCUUAUUGACGAAAAGGAUUGCGACCUCGAUGUUGGAUUGGGGUAACCAGAGGGUGCAGCAGCUCU